AUAAACUUGUCUAUGAAGCCCUGAGCAGCCACCUGGAUCUCAGCCUGGAUUAUUUGCAAAAGGUCUCAGUUCACAUCCCCGCCCACCCCGAAGGAGGCUUGGGAGGAAGAGCCUGCAGCUGACACCUUCCAACAACUUCUGCCCUCUGUAUUUCCUGCUCAGUGGCCUCACUCCGGUGUGGGGAGAUCCAUUAGGCACAACAGGAGAGGAGAAUACUAUCAGAUCAUGGAAGAUAGCAUCUGAGACAAGCUCCCCCAGAGAGACCGGCUGGAACAGGCCACCCAGCUCUUCCUUGGUAGGACUUACAGAGAGCCACAUGCAGACGGCUGUCCCAGGUAUCUCUCCUACCCAACCCACCCAGGGCUAUAUCACCUUGAAAAAUUCAUUCCUCUGGAGUUAGGCAUGGCAGGGCCAAAAGGCCUUCUCGGAGAGGUAACUCCACUCAGGACAACUUGGCCUGCAUAAAUGGACCGACAGUCUCCUUGUGGAGAAAAUGGAACCCAAGAUGGCAUGAGUUUGAAUAGCAAGGUGGGGUGGGAGCUAUUAGUGGAUGUGGAAAUAUCUGGAGCGUA
rnacentral:lncRNA from 1 species